rnacentral:lncRNA from 1 species
AUAACAAAGAAGUGCAUGAGAGAGAGAGUUGGAGGGAAUAGGUUCGGAAAUGCAAUAUUAAUAAAAAAAUCCACUGCAGGGAGAUGAGGUUCCCUGGCUUUGUAUUAAAAGGGUGGAGUACCCAAAUAGCUGGCCAGGAAACUCCCUGAAACCAAUUCUCAGGGGUGGCCUCCUCGGUGGGAGACUACGAACCACGUUAUUGCUUAGUUCACAAAAUGCAAAAAAAAAAAAAAAAAAAGGCAGGCUUACCCAAAGAAAUGAGCUUGUCCUCUGAAAUGUGCAGAGUAUCUCCCCUCAGCUUUUCUCUUCUCCAGUUCAGUUUCCACCAUGCUAAUAAGCAUUUUCUCAGUUUCAAUUUUUGCAACCUGGAAUAACAAGACAAGUGAGCAUGUCUAGCUUACUGAUAUCCUUUCAGCAGAAAGAAUCCUAUCAGAAGAGACCAAGAAAGUUAAGAAGGUCAAUAUUCCCAGUCUUUACCUGAACAUUGCCAUGGGGAUCCCUUUCAAGCAUAAGUUGCUCCUGAAUAGUUUUGGGCAGAAACUCAAACAGCUCCUUUGAUUCAGGCUGAAGCUUGCUUUUCCAGGCCCCUGCCUCAUCAACAACAUCAUGUGCCAAAAUUUCAUUCAAUUCUGCGAUGAGUUUUUGAACCUGCAAAAGAAAAGAAGUGAUGUCAGUAAUAUAGUCUAUGGCAACACAAAGUCACAGACCAUAAAAAGAGUCAAACCUCUGGGAUGAAAUCAAUUAGGCCUUCUGGUAUAAGGAUAACACCGUAGUUGUAACCGAGAUCUGCACGCUUGCAGAUGAUAUCAGUGAUGUAGUUUGUGACAUUCUUAAGGGUUUGCUUCUUUUCAGCAACCUACAAUGGCGAAGAAGACGUUAUUUUUUAAAUAAUGAUGCACAGAAUUAUGAACAAACAAUAAAGCCAUAAUGUCAGAAAAUGUAACCUAUCAGAUACAGACAAAAAUCUAGUCUGCUAAAUUGUUCUUAAGAUUCCACAAUUUGAGAAGAUGUACAAAAAAACUGCAUUAAGACAAAGUAAAUUUGAACUGGAUGGAGUAUCAGAUGGUGUACAUGUGCACAAACUCAAUCUCGUCCAUGUGAUCCAAUCUGAAUGGCCCAGUUAAGAGGUGAUAAUCCCCUCCUCAAUCACCUUUGAUUUUAGUUGGACCAAAUCUAAUUGGACCAGCCAUAGAGGGUUGGGAGGAUACUCACCUCUCACCUGGGGCAUUCAGAUUGGAAACAAUGGAUGAGAUCGAGUUUGUGCACAUGUGCACGGUGCACCAAUAUGUUCUUGUGCGCCCAAUACUCCCUCUUUGAACUAAGACCCACAGAACUAACUACUUUAACAUGUAUCACAAAAGGGCAACUAUUUUGACACUUGGAACCACAGAACUACAACUGAUUUAACAUGUAUCACCAAACUACAACUAUCCUAACACUGGGCAGUUAUGAGAAAGUUGGUAGGUGCCAAAUGCCAAAACCAUUGCGGUUUAAUGAUAUAUGUUAAGAUAGUUGUGGUUCUGGGGUAUUAGUUCAAAUUAGUUGUAGUUCUGUAAAUUUACUCUAAACAUAAAAUAUGGAUACUUGUGCAUAGAAAGUUACACUCUCCUUUUGUGUCAUUGUAUGUAUCUAAUCUGGCUAGAUAAAGGCGGGAACAUUCAAUCAUGCUAAUUCCAUGUAGAAAGAAUUUUGCAUGUAAGAAAUACCAACCUCUUCCCCAAUGAGUGCAGCAUUGGGGUGAGUUUGCAAAGCGCAUUCCAAUGUAAUGUGAGAAGCAGCACGACCCAUAAGCCUCACAACUGCAAGAGCAAGUACUUGUUAAAAACUUUAUUGCAAAAAAAUAUCAAAAAUGUUAAAAUGUGCCAUCUGUAGUUCCGUUCUAUACUUCCAACAUUCAAGGAUUACAUGUUAGCACUGCUCUAUAAUGUCAAAAACAAAAAUGCUCCAUGGCAAGAUACUACUACGUCAAUAUAGCAACUUACUAGUCUUUAAUUAUUAAAUGACAACCUAUUUUGUUGCUACUGAAAAACUUACAGUGAUAGUAUUUUCCUGUUGAUCUCGCAUCAGUCAUAACAUUGCCAAUCAUUUCAGAGUAUAUCUGAAAAAGAAGAUUAGUCUUUGUCAUGAUAUUUUCAUGGUGGGUUUUCAAAUGCAUCUGUGUAGGAUGUCUUAAUUUCUCAAAUUGAAAGAAUGCUUGGGCAGGUGUGCCAUCACCAUUGUAGCUAAUUAAAAAUCUAGACUAAGAUUUGCAUGCAUGAUACUGUGAGACGAGCACAACACAAGGAUCAAGAAUUCAGUACCUUGCAAGCAGUAUCAAACCCAAAGCUUGUUGGAACCUCCUUACAUUUCAGGUCUCCAUCAAUAGUCUUUGGGCAACCAAUAACACGGGUUUUCAAAUUCCUUGACCUAUGGAGCAAAGUUCAUAAUUUGAAAUCAUAAUCUUGAUUUACUUGUGGAUAAGCAGAAAAAGAAACAAUUGACGCAAUGUAUAUUCACAAGUCAGCCUUAUAUUGAAACACCAAAACAGAGUGUUAGCGGCCAACCUAAAGUAUUCACCAAGGAGGCAGGCAUUGGUGUUUGAAUCAUCACCACCAAUGACAACAAGACCAUCCAAAUCAAGCUUGUUGGCUGUGUCUUCAGCUUGCUUGAACUGCACAAGCAACAUAGGUAUUUGAGAAAAAAAAAAUGAUCGAGAUUAGGCAAUCCAGUAGCAAAUUUUUUCCAUAAGCAUUUGCACAUGAACAUGGUCAUUGGCCAGAGCCCAGAGACAUACCUGCUCCGGUGUUUCAAUCUUGUCCCUUCCACUGCAGAUCAUAUCAAAUCCGCCCUAUCAAAAAGAAACAAAAUUUAAAUGCAUGAUCAAAAGGAAAUAGUAUAUAAAGGAUAAUUCAAUAAAUGAUAGUUCAUUAAUACAAAGGUUAAUUUGCUUAACUAAUCACGCUUUGUUAGUAAAGUACUAAAGUAACAAUUUUGCGAAAACAUUAACAGUGGUCAACACAUAAGAAAGACAACUGCAACACGAAAGACCUACUCCAAAAUCUUACCUAAUACUAACAGGCAAACAAACAUGAUUUAAACAAAAGUAAACAUCAUUAAAAUGUUCAGUCAGCAAUACACUUAAUAAAGUAUAUGUUGCUGUACCUGGUUUCUGUAGGGAUACACAAAGUCUGCAGUGAGCUCCACAUACUUGCACUUCAUAACCCCAGCUGGGCCUCCCUUGAAUCCAUACAUGGUGCUGCCUUUUGCACGCUCCUGCAGGUAAUCUGAUCCAACCCACACCAGAAAAGUCAAACACAAGAAUUGCUUCAGGAAAUUCAAAACACAGUCAAACUCUUUCAUUGUCUACUCAAUUGCAUGCAAAUCCAAAAGAAGAUUCACUCGCUCAAAAAAAAAACAACUGAAUCAGUCAAUUUAGCCUCAUCAUACUACCAAAAUCCACAGAGAUCUACAGCUGCGCGAGUUCACUGGGACCUCAUUUAAAGACACUAUACAUUACUGAAAAAGAAACAAGGAGUACUCUUUAGAUCUCCACCUGACUGCACUACCCUUCCUUGAAUCUACCAUCAACCUCAGAUCGCCUCCAUUAGCACCCAAGGCCUUGGCAUAUCUUUUUUUUGUGAUUGAUUGAAAAGCUCGGGAAGCCAACGCAUAUGUACUCACCAAAGAUGCCGCAGAUGACAUUGUGGCCGCCCGGCGCCUGUCCACCGGAGAGCACGACACCGACCUUGAGCGGCCUGGUCGCGGCGGGCUCGGCCGCCGGCACCAGCGACGCCGAGGGCUGGCCGAAGAGGUUGGGGAAGAGCUUGGCGAUCUCAUCUGCGACAGAUCGAUCGAAUCUGAUGAGCUCGAUGGCAAAGCGCACGCAAGGCCCGAGAUCCGAAGAUACGGGCAGCGUGGGACGGUCGGUCGGACCGGUCACUCACCGGGGUUGCCCGCGGCGGAGCUGGCGGGGCCGUCGACGACGGAGAAGUUGGAGCGGAGGACGGAGGGGAGCGGCAGCGCGUGCAGGAGCCGGUUCGUCUGCACCUCGCUGUACACGGAGGCCAGCCGGCCGGGCGCCGGCCCGCCGUUCGCCGCCACCGCGCCGCCGUUGGACGUCACCGCCGCCGCCGCCAUGCGUCCGUCCGGUUUCGGGAGAGCGGAGCGGAGUGUGUUUCGCUGAUCUGGGUGUUGUGUUUGGUUUGGUUCGGGGGGGAAUAUGCCGUGGGCGAAGCGAAAGGGCCCGUCGCCGUCGUGCGGGUUUUUUAUGGGGGGCGCGAUGGCGAUCUGGUGAUCUGGUCGGGUGGGGGUUGGCGAGCCCCUGGGUUCGUGGCGUGUCCGCGGUUUGGUCCGAGCGGCGCCGCGGCAGGGGACGUUUUGGUGGUUUUACCGUGGGGUACCUGAUAUAAGUGGCGUAUUUGGGUGUCAAGGGUCUGUACUGGGUGCCGGAUGGGGUCUUGUGUGCCGGUGGUUGAUUACGAAGUUUUCCUGGGUGGAUCUGCAGUUCUGCACAGAUGAGGAUCCACGGUGUUUGUCUGGCCUGUCUCUUGGAACCUGGGUUGGCCGUGGUAUUUUACGGCUGCAGGUCGACGUCGCUGCCGUUCGGUUCGCCUGCUCGUUGUUUUCCGGCGGAUCGACGUGCCAUCCUGUGUGGUGUGUGCUACCGAGCUCGCGAUAGAGCACCUCUUUUAGCCUAGAAGACGUAAGCCAUCACAAACAUUUGGGCCUUGUUUAGUUCCCAAAAAAUUUUGCAAAAUUUUUUCAGAUUCCCCGUCACAUCAAAUCUCUAGACGCAUGCAUGGAGUAUUAAAUAUAGAUGAAAAUAAAAACUAAUUGUACAGUUUGGUCGAAAUUGACGAGACGAAUCUUUUGACCCUAGUUAGUCCAUGAUUGGAUAAUUUUUGUCAAAUACAAACGAAAGUGCUACAGUGUCGAUUUUGCAAAUUUUUUUGAACUAAACAAGGCCUUGAUAGAGGCUGAGGAUAUCGUUUUGGCAGCGACAAAUGUUCAGUAGAAUCAUUAGAAUUGAUGUCACGCAGACACGCACUACAAUAAAAAAAGGCAAAAUUUAUUGUUGGACAUGCCAAGUGAUGGCUCUUUGCUAUUCAUACACCUAUUUUCGAGUAAUUUCUAACUCUAGUUCUUGACAAAUUGGUUGGUGGAUACCGUAACUAACAAAAUAUUUUUAUAAAAUAAAUAUAAAAUCAUAUAAGUGUCCCAAAAUUUAUCCUAAAAUCUUUUAGACUCUACAUGAUGAGAACCACAUAGUAAAAUAUUGUUUUGCAUUAAAAAUGACUAUUUUACCUCUCCUCAUAAAUAAACAAAGUUAACCAUUGUUAAUUUGUUUAUGUAUUUGUAGGACGCUAAAAAUCUUGAAAAAAUCAUAAAUUGUGUACAUCACCAAAUCACAACUAUGCUAAAAAUAUCAACUCAAAAUAAUAAAAUUUGUUUCAUGUUCUUUUUAAAAUUUAUUUGGAAUAUACACCCAUAGGAUGCCAAGACGUGGAAAGGCUAGCAAACCAAGGUAUGCGUUCAUUGUUGUGCAUUGUCUGCUAAACCCUAGGUUUAGGGGCUGAUGUUUUUUGGUUCGACUAUUAGAGGACAUUGUUUCAAUUGUAGUUAUGAUCCGAUGACCGGAAGUCCUUACGACUUAAACCUUCUCCCUAGCGGUGUUCUAAGACCCAUAUAUUUUUGUGGUGAUCAUUCUAAGGUGGAAAUUUCUGAAAGAUAAAAAAAACCUAUAAGUAGAGGUAUUGUAUGUGUUCCAAUUUUAUAUGGGAGCCUACACCACAAUAGCGCCGCAAUAACUUUAUUGUGAGAUUUUUUUAUUGUGCAUUAAGUUUUUUGUGUCAUAUGAAGUAUGAUUUAUUUGUUUUGUAACAACUAUCUUUGUUAUCGACCCCUCCAUCGUUGUGUGAUUUUGAGCAGUGGAAUGACAUUAAGAACAAGGAAUUGGACAAGCAGCUUCUACAAGGUCUGAAGCAGUGGGAUGGUGUAAAGAGAUUGGAGAAGAGACACAAAGAGGAGGCUCUAAAGGAGCACAAGAAAGAGGAGGAAAGGAGGCAUGUUGCUGCAUAUAGGGAGGAGAGGGAGAAAACGGUUGAGCAUGUGCAUCGAGCGAAGGCAGUGAUGGAGGAGAAUCUCGAUACCCAGAGGAAGGAAAAGUCGUCUCGUUGCACUCAGUAGUUUACAUGACCUGCUUAUUCCAUGGUUUAUUCAUGAACAACGUUGUUUAGUGUUAGACUUUGCAAUGUGUUAUCAUGUAAUGCACUUUAACUAUGGGUGUACCUAGGGCAUGUUAUGUGUUAUUUAGUUUGUUGUCAUGCAUGUAUUUCAAAUGUUAUUGGACAUAUCAUAUGUGUAUAUGGUUUCAUUAUUAGUAGUCAUUAUAUUUAGUUCAAUAUUGCAGAGGCAGUGAAAUGAGUUGAAGUAGUGCAAAUAAAAUAUAACGAACUAGCGGACUACAUAAUUCACACCACACAACAUAUAUAUAUAUAUAUAUAUAUAUAUAUAUAUAUAUAUACACAUAUAUAUAUAUACAUAUAUACAUAUAUAUAUAUAUAAUGGCAUGAAUAACACAAGCAUACUUUGCAUGUCAACAAACUCAACAUAUCCAUAUCAAUCUCUUUCUAUAGUGUCUUCAUGAUAUAUGCUGACUAGGUUGUCCAUUUAGUUGAAGAACAUAACGAAUCACAUUUUCUUUACUCCAAUAUAAAUGAAACAUACCAAGUACAUGCUCUCUAAUACGUAAUAACUAAGUACUAAGUACUACUAACUACUAAGUACUACUAACUAUUAAGUAUUAAUAACUAAUAACUAAUAGUAUACUAAGUACUACUAACUAUGUGAAGUUACUAUCUAACUAUGUAAGUAACUAUAUAACUACUUAAAUAAAUAAGUAAGUAAUUAGCUAUGUAAAUUUACCCUCAAACUACGUAUCUAUCUAAAUAUCUUUCAACAUAUCUAAACCACUAAUACACUAAUAACUAAUUAAACUAAAUAAGUCACCAUAACUAACUAAAUAGAUAGCUAAGUAAGAGCAUUUCCAACCAUAAUUUUUUUAGCAAAAUAAGGAAAAACCCUCUUCAAAAGUUUCACAUCCCAAUUCUCCAUCUUUUCUAACUUGGCAUAUCUCCCUGACUAGCGUGCAAAUAUGCGUGCGGGUAUCGUGCUUGGCAUCGGUCUUUCUCAUGCUUAGCGGCUCUCUUCGUUUCGUUAGCGGGUUUUUGGGUUUUCGAAAACGAAAUUUGCCAAACUGUUGGAGAUAAGAUCUUUUUUCCUCUUCAUAUUAUUUGAGAGUUGGCGAACAAUAAGAUUUGGGAAACAAAUUUUACCAAACAGUUGGAGAUGCUUAGUUGUCAUACCAAAUCUCUAGAUCACAAACUAAUUAAGCUAUAUAUGUGGUCAUAUUUUGUCAUACAACUAAAAAGACUAGAAGAUGGACAUUUUCUUCGUGCAACAAUCGCUUUCGUCUGUCUGCCCCCGCCGUGCAUCCGCGUGUCCGCAUCGUCCGUACUAGGAAAUAGUCGGGCGACCGUCAUCCUCUCCACGAUCCCCUCCCCCUUUCCUAACGUGUCCGCACGGGUGUCGUCGAUCCACGCCCAAUCCCCUCCACGAGAGCGCCCCAAUCCCUCCGUCCACAAGAGAGUUGUCUGCCGUGAGAGCGCUGUCCACCGCGAGAGCGCCGUCCUCGUCAAUGCCGUUCGCGCAAGCUCUGUGCACGACAGCGUCGUCCGCGGGAGUUCCGUCCUCAAGCGCCGUCCGCGUGACCUCCAGGACAACUUUCGUCUGUUUGCCCUCUCACGAAAUCCUUCCCCGCGUGAGUUCCUAUGCCGCCAAGUGGGACCGACAUGGUGUCCCACGCGCCUGCUCCCCUCCCGCUCCGUUUGUCCUCCAACAAUCACGCCCAACUUCAUGCCCCACCAAUCCCGCCCAGAUCCCUCGCCCUUCCAUGCCCUGCACCCCGCUCCUUGCUCCCUGUCCACCACCACAAUCAGUAGGUGUGCUAAACCCUUCUCUUGCCCUUGCCGCAGCGCUGCCCAUGGCCCCAUCCAUCGACACGCGUUGUGAUCCCCCUUCCUGAUCCACGUUGCCACAGUGUCUUCCUCUCCAUCUACGUCUCCUUAGCACCGGCGGCCUACCUCAACAACGAUGGCAAUGAACCAGUGGACCUAUAAGAGAUGGACGUGGUGGUGACCUCACCCCAGAGGCCUCGACCUAGCGCCUGGUGGUGGCGACCUCACCCUCGAGACAUAACGCCUAGUAGUGUCUCCCUUGUAGGUGCAUCUCUCCUAUUCUACCAUUGGUGUGUGCCCCUGUGAUCUAAUCCACUCAAAUAGGAACGUGUGGAGCAUAGAAGAAGGACCAGCGGCCAGCAACCUAUCUACAAGAUCAUCAUCAUCAAUGACCGUCACCGGUGUUGCCUUCCCCAAGGUGUGCCUUUGCUUCAUCUGAGCAAUCCCUGCCCUGAAGAUUGUUUUAGAUAAGCCACCUAUGCUUGCUCGAUCUAUGAUUUGUUUGAGAUAAAUCAAUUUGGCAGUCAUGAUUUCAUAUGGUUUGUUGGCCUGCAACUUUUGAGACAAAGAAGGUGAUAUGAAUAUUGUUUUUGACCAACAUCUGCGCAUUUUUCGGUCUUCCUUCAGCUUAGCAUGGAAUUUAUAUUUGCUGCAGAACAUGAACAACUGUGUAUCAUGUGUUUGAUGGAAUGCCUAGAUAGGUUCAGUGCUUCUAAAUUUCAUGCAUACUUCAUUAUUAAUAAUAUACCAAUAUUGUGCCUUUGGUAUUAUGCUAUAGGAGUAAAAAAUUGAAUUUCUAUUUUGUAUUGUUCACGUUAUGUGAGCUGAUAUUGACAUUAAUUGGCUUAGAUUUCAACACUCUGAUUCGGUUAACAAAUUAUUUUAUUUCUUGUUCCGUAAAAGUAUUGGCUAUUAAGUGUAAUUCAUAUUCGAGAGAACGUCAAUGUAUUGAAAUGGAAAUUCAUGUAUAAAAAUCAUAUGGAUUGUUCUAUUGUCGUGAUUCUAUAUAUUUUGAUAUGGCCUUAUCAUUUGUGCUCAUCAGUGAUUGCCUUUUCAAGAACCACAAUCAACAUGGAGGUGUACCAUGGUAUUUGCCUAAUCAUCUUCCAACUGUAGCUCAUCAUCUAAAUUUAAUCAGUGGACGUUGCCUCAUUUGGACAAAUAUAUGAUAAAGCAACUAAAGAGGAUGAUGACUUGGAUUUGGUGGCUGGAUUGGGAAUUUGUGAUUAAUGUGAAAAACCAUAAACUUUUAUUGUUCAUGGCCUUAACUGAUCUUGUCGUUAGUGCACAAGUGUUGGUAUAAAUUAAUUGCACUCCUUUAAAUAAGAUUUAAGUAAGAUUAUCCACAAGCGCACAAAUAUCGUACCAAUGUCACAUCUUACAUGGGGGUUUCAAAUAUCGUAUCCACAGGGAAGGUAUAUAUGUAGAACUUAUAACUAUAACUUAUACUAUUGGUGUGAACGAUAAACCAUAACUAGAAUCCUACUCAUAACAAGGAUAAGUCACCUGAUAAAAGGUAUAAGAUAAAUAAUCAUCAGUCAUCAUAAAUAGAUAAAUAUCACAGCUUUUCUAGUCAUAGUAAUAGCUAGCCAUUAGAUAAACUCAGAAAGAAAUACUAAGGUAAUUCUAGAACUACGUCAAUGAAUAACUCUAAUUAGUGCAAUUACAUCUACAAAUCAUUGUUAAGUCAACCCUAUAUCAUAAUCACAUGUAAAGAUGCAUCAACUAAUGAGGAUAUUAAGACGCAACCGUCACCUCCUUCGUGACCACGCCCAAGGUGUCCUACGUAUGGGGGUGGACUACAGAGGAACCAACACAGCUGUCACCUGUGCGGACUACCACACGACCCGACACAUUAGGGUGCCCUCACAGAUAAACAGAUAUCUAGACACCACGUCUACAUAUUGUCUACCAUCUACCCACCAAUUGAUUGGGUAAACGCUAUACGAGCAAUUACAUGAAUUCAAUAAGAUCAAACCAACUAUCCUAGACAUAUAAUCAAAGUAGACAAUUACUAUUGCAAUUAAGAAUAUAUAAGAGAUUAAGAAUAAUAUUGCCUGAAUCAUAAUAUUGAAUACAAUAAGAGAAAGGUACUAGAACUAUACCGAACUCUGCGCUCCAGACAGACGCUAGGGGCUCCAGAUCCUGUUGAAGAACUAGAACUCUUCUACUUCUAAUCUAACUAGGCUAAAACUAUAAACUAGAGAGGCUCUGAUGAACUAGAGAAGACUCUUGAUAAAUAAAUCUCCAAAUGACUUGAUGCCUUCAAGAAGCGGGUCUGCCCCUUUAUUUAUAGCUCGGUGGGAUCGACGUGUGCCGUAGGAUCAAAUCGACUUAACCAAGGGCCAAGAUGACUCUUUGGAGGCGGUGGAGGAAGCUUCCAUAAGGGAGGCCGAAACCGUAAUAGGGGGCGCUGGCUGGCGCCAUGGUGGGGCCAGCCGGCCCCACCUGACGGCCUCUGGCCCCCGGUUUCUUCCGGUGUCUUUCAGAGUCUUCCCACGUCCCGUUCGUGAUCUUUUUCGUGGCGGAUAAGUUUCGUGAUAAAUAUGCACUCGAAUCUCUCUUUUCAGCUUUUCUAGAAAUAGACCCUGGAAAAUACAGAAUAUGCAAAACUCAUGGAAAUUGUUAGUUUAAACCCUAGACUAGUGUGUUUUCAUGUUCCCCUUCGAGUUUAAAGUUCUAAUAAAAAUUGAUGUUAUCGACCGUCAACAACAAGCAAUUAGAUUUUCUUGCUGCCUGCAAUUUGCACUGUAGUUAAAGCAUUCCCUUGAUAUAACCACGUUUAUGUUGCUUGUUGUAGUUUCAGAGUUAUUGUAAUUAGGGCAUAUAUAAUAUAUGAAGUGGGCUGCACAAACACCAUGUGCUUGACAUAUUCAUUCUCCAAUCUCUCAAGCAUGCUCUAUGAUCUUGGGAUUGGAACCUUGGGAUCUAUUGGUAACAGAUCUUCCUCUGAUCCUUGUACAUGAGACUGCAGUUUUUCUUAAAAGAGGGUUUGCAGUUUAGAGAUUAUUAAUUUUACUACAAACUUAUGAGCACCAUAACCAUAUAGGAGUAGUAAAAUGUUGACUGUUUUUUCAGUGCCAUUAUGUGCUCGAAUAUUUUCUAACAAGCACUCUUGUGCAUGAUUUUUUUUAGAAUUUGCUUGAAUAUUUUCUGACAAAGUACUCAGGUCCAGGAUUCUAUAUCUAUAAAGAUUUAUUAGUACAUACUCUGAAGUGAAUGAAAAAUGACAUAUCUUUCUGGCUUUCUUUAGACUCUACAUCUUACUAUUGCAGGAAUUGAGAGAAGGUAGGAAAUGCAACUUUUCAUUUGUUGUCAGCACACACCUUGAUUUAUCGGACACAUGAUUAGCUUCUGAGCUGCCUUAGACAAAUCCAGUUCUUGCAAUUCUGCAAGUUUUACAUUUAGCAUAAGCGAAAUAAUGUUGUGACAUCAGUGACAGUGACACAUAGGUGAAAGAAUUAAGCAUGUAUUAUUUCUUUCCUCUUUUAAAGACAAGAUAAUAACACUUACCUCAGUGUUUUCUAUUUUUAAUAAGUUGCAAAAAAAGAAGGGUUGAACAGAAUCAUGUGCUGUUGAGCAGAGUAGGUGGUGUUUGGAAUCAUUUUCCACAUGGCAGGAUGUCUUCUACUCUUCCUUUCACAUGGCUAGAGAUCAGGUAAAAGAGACUUCACACAUAAAAAUAACUUUGGUCAAGGUAAGCACCACUCGAUAAGAGUUAUGCUCUUACAUAUAAUUUCUAUUCUCCAUACAAACUUGUUUUCAUAGCUUCACUUGAGCCUUUUUCAAUUACUAUCUCAUAUAAAAAGUAAUCAUUUUAUCGAGGAAUUUUACAUGGAUGUGAAAAAUAAAAUCUAACUUAUAGAGUUCUAUGGGCUAUGUCGUACGCCAUCAAGUGAAUCAAGGGGUAUUUAGAAUUGUAGUUUAUACUGACAAAGGCCUUCCUAUAUUGUCAUUAUUAAUUUGAGGUAUGAAGAAAAAUCCUUAUGAUUUCGUAGUGUUAAUUUUAAUUUGGUUUGUGCGAAUAGUAUCUUUUGCAGUGAUCAUGAAUAUUGUAACAUAAUUUUUGUUGCUAUGCUACAUUUUUCACAGGAUGCAGUUUCUGAGAAUAAAUUUCCCCAAUAAUGCUUAUGGAUGUUGUUGGGAUGGAUGAAUGUGCCAUGGGAACAUGGCCUCAGCAUACAAGUUUUUAAUCAUGAUGCUUCCCUUGAUGUAUUACUACAGUUCAUUAGUGACAAUGAGUGUGCAUUUACAGUAUAGAAGCCUCCAACUUAAGGAGUGUUUGGAUCAAGGGCCAAUAACUAAUAUUACUCUAAAACCAGUACCAGUAUUUGAUGCCUUGUCAUGUACUGAAACUAUAAUAAUGGUGCUCCACUUGUGUGAACUAUUGCUAAACCCCACUCUUGAUGUUCAGUUAACUUGUCACGAUUACAAGAGGUAAUGUGACUGCUGCAAGAUAUCAUAUGUCUGCUCUGCUCUUCCUUUCUUUUAUUUUCUUUGAGGCUUGAACCCUAAGAAGGGUCUCUGUUGUAAGGUCCAAAUGGCUAGAGGGGGGGUGAAUAGCCUAUUUAAAAAAUUCUACAAACUUCAACUAGACAAGUUGAUUAGUAAAACAAAAGGCGAAGCUAUUCUAGCACUAGCACAACUAAGCUAUGCAAGCCACCUACACAAGUCUAGCAAGAAAGCUAAACACUAGUUACAACAAGAAAGCACAACUAGAAGCUUGCUACACUCCUAAACAAGAAAGCUAAGCUAAACAAGCUACACAACUAGCAAGGUAUACACAAAGGUAAAAGAGAGGGGAGUGAUUGUUAUACCGAUGUUGUAGAGUAGAAAUAUAUCUAAUCAAUCAUUCACAAUCACAAGAGAAUCCUCGGUAAGAGAUGACACAAGAUUUUUUACCGAGGUUCACUUGCUUCCCGGCAAGCUACUCCUCGUUCUGGCGAUACACCCACUUGAUGGAUCACGAGCUAAUUGGCAAUCCAAAGCCAAACCCUCAGUGGGUGCCGCACAUCCACUCACAAGAUGGGGAUCCUCCAAGCCACGAGCAAUCCACUAGAGUAGCCAAUUACGAUCUCCCGCGGGGAAGGCUCAAGAACCCCUCACAAAUCACUUGGUGAGGCUCGAAACAAUCUCCAAUCACGAGCUCAACACCACCGCUGCUCCAAGACGUCUAGGGCAUCGGGAAACACCCAAGAGUAAUAAGAAAUCCGCAGCAAACUCAAGAAUCAAGUGCCACUAAAUGCAACUCUCAAAGCAAUGCACUUGAAUCUCACUCAAUCUCACUAGGAUGAGCAAUCAAGCAAGGAGAUGAGUGGAGGGAGUGUUCUCUAGCUCAAUGUAUGCCUCAAGUAAUCAAAUGUGCAAGAGCGAGCCUCCCAAAGCCGGCCACCAACUAUUUAUAAGCCCCUCAAAGAAACUAGUCGUUGGUUGUUUACACUGGGCUGAAAACGGGGGCACGGGAUGCUACUAAGUGAGCACCGGACGCUCGACCCCCAGCGUCUGGUGCACUGGGGUUAGCCACGUGUCCUUCUUGAAUCUCUCGUGUCAGAUUCUAACGGCUACCUGCGGAACACCGGACGCUCUGCAGGUACACACCGAACGCGUCCGGUGCACACCGGACUCAUGUGCAGAGAGUUUGUCAAACUCGCGACCUCACCGGACACUGGGCACCGGACGGUCCGGUGCUCACCGGACUCGUGUGUAGAGAGGGUUGCAAAAA